rnacentral:lncRNA from 1 species
GAAAACAGAAUCUGUGGCCUAGUUCCGCCUCUAAGGGACUGGAAGUAGAUGUCAUCCUGAAUCCAGGACAGCCCAACACACCUCAAGGAAUAUGCUAGAAAUGCUGCCAGAUGCUCUGUGUGGAGACUGGAUUGCCUCUGACUCUGGACCUCGCAGCAUCUAGCACAAGCUGUUUUCUUCUCUUAUGAGUUGGAACCAGGAGGGAAGAGCAUCCAGAGGACUAAGGUAAUUUAGUUUCCAGCCAUUUUU